rnacentral:rRNA from 1 species
UUAGUUGUAAUAAUAAAGUUAGAAUUAGUAAUAGUUAAGUUCUUUAAAAUUAAAGAUUUUGGCGGUAUUUUAGUCUUUUCAGAGGAACCUGUUCUGUAAUUGAUAAUCCACGAUAAAUUUUACUUUAUUUAAUAAGUUUGUAUAACGUCGUAGAUGAAUAUUUUAUUAGAAUUUUAAUAUUCAAUAAGUAAAAUUAUAACUAAAAUCAGAUCAUGUUGCAGUUUAUAAUAAAGUAGAAAUGGGUUACAAUAUAAAUUUAUAUAAAUGAAUUAAUAAAUUGAAAAUUAUUAUGAAAGUGGAUUUGAAAGUAAUUAAUUAUAUUUUUUUUUAAUGAUUAAAGCUCUAAAAUAUG